rnacentral:tRNA from 1 species
GCCUAGGUGGCUCAGUCAGUUAAGCAUCUGACUUGGGCUCAGGUCAUGAUCUCAUGGUUCAUGAGUUCGAGCCCCACCUUGGGCU